UUUAUUUUGCUAGGUUACAGUUGGUUUUGUUUUUCUUUAUCUUCCGCUUUACAGUUUUAUUGUCUAAUCUAUUCAUUUUUUGUUUUGUAUAAAGAUCAAAAAUGUGAUCAAUGGGUGUGGCAGUGGGAGCUCAUGACUAUUGAAACCGUUAUUUUUUAGAUUUGUGGCCUUGAUAGUAAAGUCAUGAGAGGCAUGGAAUCGUGAAAUCCUGUUUUUUUUCCUGUAAUCUUGAAAAACUUUUCUUGAUUUUGAUUUGAUUUUUACUAAUUUUUUUUUUGAAGAUAUAAUAAAUCGAAAUAAAGUGAAUAUGAUCAAGCACAUAAUGAAAACAAAUAUUAAGAAUUAAGAUAAUGAAACAAAGUAUCCAUAUGAAGGGAGAAUCGGCUGGUGUACGAAAUCGUGAAGAAACACUAUGGUUGUUGAAAUCAAAAAUUUUGUUUAUUUAUUUUCUCUAUUAAGGGGAUAUUGGUAUGAAAUCAAAAGACGCAAUAGGUUGAUGAGAAGGCUUCUGUUAAAAAGAACGAAGAAUCUAGCAGUGAAACAGUUUGACAUUUCAUGCGAUCACUAUUUGGUGAACAAUCUAAAACUCUCCAAGCUCAAGUUUUAUCUUACACAAAAAAAUUACUUUAAUGGAAUCUGUAUAUAGUAUUGGAUGAUAAUAUAAUAUAUAAGCAUUCGAUGAUAAUAUAAUAACAAAAUUUGUAUAAGAAAAAUUAAUAGAAAAACUUUAUGCUGAAGAUAGAUUAACUAACUUUAUAUUCUUUCCAAUUCACUCUCAAAUUAUUCCACUCCGUUAAUAAUGUCAUACUUAUCUAUCCUUCUUCUAUAUAUAUAUUGAUACUGGUUUGCUGCGAUCUGAUACUUCCCGUUGUCCCAAAUGAAACACAUUGUAUCUCAAGAAGGAACUGAGGUCUAUACUUAUCUAUAUAAGUUAAAAUGUUAGCACGUUCAAUAUGCGUAAUAAAUUCUAUUUUUGUUGCCUGAUAUUUUUGGUAAAGAAAGCACUGAUGCAAUGCAAGCUUACAGUAACCGAUAAAAAAAAAGGUAAGCUUACAGCACAAUUUUGUAAAGCAUAUCAAAAUGGAGCAGUAUACAACUUCCAUGAAUGUACAAAUUUGUAAAGCAUGUCAAAAUGGAGAAGCAUAGAGCUUCCAUGAAUGUGCAUGUCAUUUUCAUUUGAAAUCAAGUGCAUGUCAUGCCAUCUUUUUAUAUGUUGGCCACAUACCAUAGUUUUCAGAAUAUAUUUUACCAAUCAUCUUUUUAGAUAGUCGUAGUCCAAGUAAAAGAUGUCGAAAUUUCACUUACUUGAUUGUUACGUACAUAAUUUUUACGUACAUAAACUUGGCGAUACAGAUCAGUAGUGUUUAUUUAAGGUUACUGAAAUGGUGAUGUCGAAAGCUGAUCCGCAUAACCCUUUUGACUAUUGUAGAGUCUAUCUUCGCGUAAUGAGCAAACAUAAAGCGUCAAAUCAGCAUUCCGUAAUUUACAUGUACAAAUAUAAUCCCUAUAGUAUACAUUGCUUACAAUAGAGAAUAUAAUUGGACAUUACAUUUGGGUAUAGUCCCUAUAGAGUUAUCUUAUUUUGCAUAGAUAUAUUGUUUCUGAUUGUGACUCACUUGAGGUCUACCAUAACCGUACGUAUUACACUUUAACUACUGAAGAUCUAUUUUUUAUUUUAAAGAAUAUGGUUAUGUCG